GUAGCAGGCAUUCUUUGCAUAUACAUCAACUACGACUGUGAUAGGCAAAGGCAAGAGUUUCGCAGAACAAAUGGCAAAUCUUUGGUUUGGGGUAAAGCUCCAUCAAAGAUAACUGCCACUUACACUACCACAACUGGGGAAACAAAAAGCAGCAUUCUUUUAACUUCGGGAUGGUGGGGAUUAGCUCGACAUUUCCACUAUGUCCCAGAAAUAUUAGCUGCAUUUUUCUGGACUGUUCCAGCUCUUUUUAACCACGCUUUACCCUACUUUUAUGUGGUGUUUCUUACAAUCCUUCUCCUCGACCGGGCGAAAAGGGAUGAUGAUCAGUGCCGAUCCAAGUAUGGAAAAUACUGGAAAUCGUACUGCGAGAAGGUUCGGUACAGGGUCAUCCCCGGAAUUUACUGAGAAAAUGUUGCACAAGUGUUUGUUCUAUGUUGAGAAUGGCAUGUAUAUUCAGCCUUUCCAAAUUAAAUGAUGGCAGGCUGGUAUCAUGUUGUUGUUAUUGUUGUUUUUGUAAUGGUCAACUUUAUGGAUGUUGUAUUUCUCUCAUCUUCAAUGACCAAAAACUUUUCUUGUUUAGGAAAA